rnacentral:lncRNA from 1 species
AAGAAAGAAAGAAAGAAAGAAAGAAAAGAAAGAACAAGCAAACCAGCACCACAUAUGACAUUUAUAAUAAAAUCAACUCAUAUUCUUAAGCAUAAGAGAAAGCAUAUAAUGCAAGAGUACUAGAAAAGUACUAGAAUAGAAUCAAACUCUCAUCUUAGAAAUGGUAUUUUUGGAACAUUAUUAUAAUCUAAUAAGUGGUACCCUAAUUGUCCAAAAACAAGUUAGCAGUUAAAAUCUUUUGAUAGUAUUGGGCCUAUGGGAUUCAAGCAUGAGUUAAAUUUUGACUUGAUUUUUCCUCGGGGCAAUUUCCAACUCUGAGAGCAUGGGAUUCAUUUAUAGGUUUGGAUUUAAUUUGGACCGUCCACAUCAUCCUUUUCUUCAAAUGACCUGAGGGUGCUGAAGUGAGUUCCACUUUCUUUUCCUUCCUCAGUUCCUCAUGGUGGUAAAUGAGUACCCAUCCAGAUGCUCCAGCCAAAACUCUUGAUUCUAAGACCUUUCAAUUCUACCCUCAGAUUACAUCCUAUAUACACCUGCUUUGCUCCACCCUGCUGCCAUUUUCCUGGUCCAAUCCACCAAAAUCUGCCACCAGAGUCCCCUAAGCAGACAUCGUGUUUCCGGUCUUGUCUCUCUCCAAUCUACUGGAGCAGCCAAAGGGACAGUCAAUGUCCAUGUUGUCCCACUGUUUGAAUAACUCCACAGCAUGCCCCUGUCUCUCUCUGUGCCAUGCCAACC